UACGUAGGGGGGCAAGCGUUUGUCCGGAUUUAUUGGGCGUAAAGAGCGUGUAGGCGGUUCGGGUAGGUCCGUUGUGAAAACUCGAGCUCAACCUCGAGACGCCGAUGGAAACCCCCCGAACUAGAGUCCGGAAGAGGAGAAUGGAAUUCCUGGUGUAGCGGUGAAAUGCGCAGAUAUCAGGAAGAACACCCGUGGCUAAGGCGGUUCUCUGGGCCGAUACUGACGCUGAGGAGCGAAAGCGUGGGGGAGCGAACAGG
rnacentral:rRNA from 1 species